GACGAACGCUGGCGGCGUGCUUAACACAUGCAAGUCGAACGGUGACGGCCAGCUUGCUGGUCUGAUCAGUGGCGAACGGGUGAGUAACACGUGAGCAACCUGCCCUUCACUCUGGGAUAAGCCUUGGAAACGAGGUCUAAUACCGGAUACGACACUCCCGGGCAUCCGGAGGGUGUGGAAAGUUUUUCGGUGAGGGAUGGGCUCGCGGCCUAUCAGCUUGUUGGUGGGGUAAUGGCCUACCAAGGCGACGACGGGUAGCCGGCCUGAGAGGGCGACCGGCCACACUGGGACUGAGACACGGCCCAGACUCCUACGGGAGGCAGCAGUGGGGAAUAUUGCACAAUGGGCGAAAGCCUGAUGCAGCGACGCCGCGUGAGGGAUGACGGCCUUCGGGUUGUAAACCUCUUUCAGCAGGGAAGAAGCGAAAGUGACGGUACCUGCAGAAGAAGCGCCGGCUAACUACGUGCCAGCAGCCGCAGUAAAAC
rnacentral:rRNA from 1 species